rnacentral:rRNA from 1 species
CGUUAGUUUUUUAAUUGGAAUCUUGUAUGAAUGGUUUGACAAAAGAAAAUCUGUCUUUAUAAUUAUUUAUUGAAUUUAACUUUUAAGUGAAAAGGCUUAAAUAAAUUAAAAAGACGAUAAGACCCUAUAAAGCUUAAUAUUAAAUUUUUAUUUAAUUAAAUUUUAAAUUAUAAUAAAGAUUUGGUAAAUAAAUUUUAUUUUGUUGGGGUGAUAAUGGUAAAAUGAUUAUUAACUGUUAAUUUUUUUAGACAAAAAUAAAUGAAUAAUAAUUUGUUGUAAAGGAUCCUGUAUUAAAGAUUAAAAGUUUAAGUUACUUUAGGGAUAACAGCGUUAUUUUUUUUGAGAGUUCUUAUCGAGAAAAA